UAGCCGUAAACGAUACUCGCUAGGUGUCGGCCACGGUGCGACCGUUGUCGGUGCCGUAGGGAAGCCGUGAAGCGAGCCACCUGGGAAGUACGGCCGCAAGGCUGAAACUUAAAGGAAUUGGCGGGGGAGCACCACAACGGGUGGAGCUUGCGGUUUAAUUGGAUUCAACGCCGGACAACUCACCAGGAGCGACGGUUACAUGAAGGCCAGGCUGAUGACCUUGCCUGAUUUUUCCGAGAGGAGGUGCAUGGCGUAGUCGUGU
rnacentral:rRNA from 1 species